CAGAAUUCACCAAGUGUUG
rnacentral:snRNA from 1 species